rnacentral:other from 1 species
UAUCCCCUGCAGCGAACGAAGUUCACUGGGUUACUCCUUGAGCCUAAUCUAAAACCCAGGGACCUCCGACUUGUCUGAUGUGUGCAUGUCCGCUCCGCGCGGAAAGCCUGAUUCGGCAGAUGGCGCUCCCACCUGAACCUCCUGGUUCAAGGGCAGAAGUGAUCUACGGCGCAGGCGGGGGGUAC